rnacentral:miRNA from 1 species
UGAUUGAAACCUCUACGAGUAGU